rnacentral:rRNA from 1 species
CAGCGAAAUGCGAUACCUAGUGUGAAUUGCAGAAUUCCGCGAAUCAUCGAGUCUUUGAACGCAAGUUGCGCCCGAGGCUUGUCCCGAGGGCAUGCCUGCCUGAGCGUCACCGCACUCCCACCCGACGAACCCUCGUCGCGCGUGGAAAUGGCCGUCCGGGGUCGGGCGUCGAUGCCCAGCGCCGCGGUCGGCUGAAAUGGAGCGUUCUGGACGUAGCCGGAGAGGGGGAUUGCGAGAAGGUGAUCCGCCCUCUGGGCGGAGUCUAUUUUGACAGCGUCCCUCGAUCCGGGAGGUCCCACGGAACUCGGAGCGGGAGCUCGCCCGGUCGAUCGCUCGCGGUCGGUUGGGCGAGUCACACCACUGCUUGGACCUCAGAUCAGGCAAGAUUACCCGCUGAGUUUAAGCAUAUCACU